CAGUAGCCGCGGUAAUACAGAGGAUGCAAGCGUUAUCCGGAAUGAUUGGGCGUAAAGCGUCUGUAGGUGGCUUUUCAAGUCCGCCGUCAAAUCCCAGGGCUCAACCCUGGACAGGCGGUGGAAACUACCAAGCUAGAGUACGGUAGGGGCAGAGGGAAUUUCCGGUGGAGCGGUGAAAUGCGUUGAGAUCGAAAAGAACACCAACGACGAAAGCACUCUGCUGGGUCGACACUGACACUGAGAGACGAAAGCUAGGGGAGCAAAUGGGAUUAGAUACCCGCGUAGUCCCUGUCUCUUAUAU
rnacentral:rRNA from 1 species